UUAAAAAGCUCGUAGUAGAAGCUCGGGCUCCGGCCGACUGGUCCGCCUCACCGCGUGCACUGGUUCGGCCGGGCCUUCACCUUCUGCGGAACCGCAUCCCCUUCACUGGGGGUGUCGGGGAAACAGGACGUUUACUGUGAAAAAAUUAGAGUGCUCCAGGCAGGCCUAUGCUCGAAUAGAUUAGCAUGGAAUAAUGGAAUAGGACGUGUGGUCUUAUUUCGUUGGUUUCUAGGACCGCCGUAAUGAUUAAUAGGGACAGUCGGGGG
rnacentral:rRNA from 1 species